UCCGUAGGCGGGCAAUUAAGUCAGAGGUGAAAUCCCACAGCUCAACUGUGGAACUGCCUUUGAUACUGGUUGUCUUGAGUUAUAGUGAAGUAGAUAGAAUGUGUAGUGUAGCGGUGAAAUGCAUAGAUAUUACACAGAAUACCGAUUGCGAAGGCAGUCUACUAACUAUAUACUGACGCUAAUGGACGAAAGCGUGGGGAGCGAACA
rnacentral:rRNA from 1 species